rnacentral:rRNA from 1 species
AGAACGAACGCUGGCGGCAGGCCUAACACAUGCAAGUCGAACGCCUGCAGCAAUACAGGAGUGGCAGACGGGUGAGUAACGCGUGGGAACGUGCCCAAAGGUACGGAACAACUCCGGGAAACUGGAGCUAAUACCGUAUGUGCCCGAAAGGGGAAAGAUUUAUCGCCUUUGGAUCGGCCCGCGUCUGAUUAGCUAGUUGGUGAGGUAAAGCCCACCAAGGCGACGAUCGGUAGCUGGUCUGAGAGGAUGAUCAGCCACACUGGAACUGAGACACGGUCCAGACUCCGUACGGGAGCAGCAGUGGGAAUAGUUGGACAAGUGGGCGCAAGCCUGAUCCAGCCAUGCCGCGUGUGUGAAGAAGGCCUUCGGUUGUAAGCUACGUUUUGUUAGGGAAGAAAGCGAAGGUAAUUAA